rnacentral:rRNA from 2 species
UUUGACCUCAGAUCAGA